rnacentral:rRNA from 1 species
CGGCCUUGACAUACUAAGAACUUUCCAGAGAUGGAUUGGUGGCCUUCGGGAACUUAGAUACAGGUGCUGCAUGGCUGUCGUCAGCUCGUGUCGUGAGAUGUUGGGUUAAGUCCCGNAACGAGCGCAACCCUUUUCCUUAUUUGCCAGCGGGUCAUGCCGGGAACUUUAAGGAUACUGCCAGUGACAAACUGGAGGAAGGCGGGGACGACGUCAAGUCAUCAUGGCCCUUACGGCCAGGGCUACACACGUGCUACAAUGGUCGGUACAAAGGGUUGCUACCUCGCGAGAGGAUGCUAAUCUCAAAAAGCCGAUCGUAGUCCGGAUCGCAGUCUGCAACUCGACUGCGUGAAGUCGGAAUCGCUAGUAAUCGCGGAUCAGAAUGCCGCGGUGAAUACGUUCCCGGGCCUUGUACACACCGCCCGUCACACCAUGGGAGUUUGUUGCACCAGAAGUAGGUAGUCUAACCGCAAGGAGGACGCUUACCACGGUGUGGCCGAUGACUGGGGUGAAGUCGUAACAAGGUAGGCGUAGAUGA